UUAUAUCGACGCCAGCUAUCCUGAGGGA
rnacentral:sRNA from 1 species